rnacentral:rRNA from 1 species
UACGUAGGGGGCAAGCGUUAUCCGGAUUUACUGGGUGUAAAGGGAGCGUAGACGGCAUGGCAAGUCUGAUGUGAUAACCCGGGGCUCAACCGCGGGACUGCAUUGGAAACUGUCGGGCUAGAGUGUCGGAGAGGCAAGUGGAAUUCCUAGUGUAGCGGUGAAAUGCGUAGAUAUUAGGAGGAACACCAGUGGCGAAGGCGGCUUGCUGGACGAUGACUGACGUUGAGGCUCGAAAGCGUGGGGAGCAAACAGG